UGUGCAUUUUUCAUACACUCCUAUUCUUUCAUGUGUGCUGAACUUAUGUGAGAUGCAUCUCUAGAACUUGCGUAACGAUCUUUCGAAAUGUUUGUCAUUGAUUACAUGAACUUGGAAAUGAUAGAGGCAUUAGGUUUACCACCAUGGCCCAAAUAACCAUGUUUCCCAACAGAAAAAUGAUAUCAUUAGAUUGCCUAUUUGAUCCGUGUUUGUUGAACCUUUUAUUUCUUAUCACCAAAUAUGUCUACCCUUAUACCUGAAACAUUUUUUUCCUUACCCUUUCCAAGCAAGCUAGUGAGCAAUGUGAGAUUGUCUUAUGAGAAAUAUUUGUAAAGUACUUUGAAGGUGUUUGGCAAAAAAAUAAGUGUGGGGGUAUUUCAUGUUUGUAUUAAAAAAAAAAAAAAAAAAAAAAGAAGAAAAAGAAAAAGAAAUAUUGUAUACAAAUGAAAUAAAAGUUUUUAAAAGUUUCAGUUUAAGGGUGUGGUUGGAGGUGUUAGAAGAAUUGUUGGAGAUAUUGAGUUCUUAUAAAUCUAAACAAAAGAAUUGCUUGCAAUGUAGCUUGGAACUUGUGUUUUCCUAUUCUUUCGUUUCAAUAACUUUAUCCCUAAGCCUCAUUACAUCCAAUAAAAGUCCUCUUGAUUUAAGUUUUGCAAUUAUGACUGUGGAGAAGUGAUCUUUAUGCAAGCUUAUGGUAGAAAUUUCACAUUUGAUUCUUUGAGCGAAACACAUUAAAACUAAACACAUGUGUGAUUGAGUGCAUAUCCCGUGAGAAGGUCGCUAGUUUGCAUAUGAUGAUUUUAAAAAUAAAAAUUUUGAAAUUACAUUAGCAUGGCUAUCUCACACACUACACCUCAAGGAUGAUUCAAAGAUUACUGCUAAUAUUUGAAUAAGGAAGAUGAACUUAGAUUAGUUCCUUGAUGCUAGCUAUGGUUCUUGAUGAUUUGUUUUCUUGAAUGAAAUUCUAUGAGGGUCACAUAGAGGGAAACUAAUGUUUUUCUUGUUACUUCUUGUUCUUGUUUUCUUUGUUUUGCUCGAGGACUAGCAAA
rnacentral:lncRNA from 1 species